UACGUAGGGUGCGAGCGUAAUCGGAAUUACUGGGCGUAAAGUGUGCGCAGGCGGCCGCGCAAGUCGAGUGUGAAAUCCCCGAGCUUAACUUGGGAAUUGCGCUCGAAACUACGUGGCUGGAGUGUGGCAGAGGGAAGGUGGAAUUCCACGUGUAGCGGUGAAAUGCGUAGAGAUGUGGAGGAACACCGAUGGCGAAAGGCA
rnacentral:rRNA from 1 species